GGGCCCUCCAGUCCUCAAGCCCCUCUGCAUUCAUCUUGUGGGAUGAACUCCCCCACAGAGGGUAUGGACAGACGUGGUGUGCACAGUGGGUGCCCUAUUAGUGAAGGUUAUUAUUUGUUGAACUUGGUUGAACCCAGGCCACCUUCGGCAGCUGCCCUAGUCCAAUCCUUCUUUUCUUACUUCCACUUGACAAGUGUCAUUAAGCCCAUGUAUCAGACUGUCUCUGAAGAGUAAUGCUGGGGUGUUUGAUGGUGAUGACAAUGAUGUCCAAGGAUCUGUUAAGCCACAUCCACAUGGCCUGGCAGUGGCUGCGUCUCCCUUCCGAGAAAGACCCCAGAGCAAGUCCCUUAGGAACACUCCCUCUCUAGGAAGGCACUGCCAUGGAAAGAUCAUGGCAGGGGCUGCCAGGUCUAGGAAGUUCUCAGCACACGUGGGCCGGGGAGGCAACUGACCUUCCACGCCCAGCAUCUUGUGGAAGGCAUGAUGCACUGCCAGCCCUGCUUCCCCUCCUCUGCGCUCCUCACCUGGGCAACCUAAAGAAAGUGUGGGUGGAGUUGGCACUGCAUCCAUGGUGGAACAUCAACAAUGCCGGUGAUGAGGGUAAUUUUCAGAUGAGUUGAGAUAAGCCUGCUGCGUUACUCUCUGACCUUCGCCGUCAUUUUCACACAAUAGGUGGAUGAUAAUGUUGAGCUGUGUCUAAGAGCUCCUCCAGACAGAGAGGAAUGAGCAAAGGCAGCAUGAACCCAAACAAACAGAAGCAAUUUCAGCUGCAGAAGUCCUUCAGGGCUUAAAAGCAUUGUUUGCUACGCAUUAGGCAUUUCUGAAUCUGAAGAGAAUCUUUUUUCUCUCCCUUUCCUAUUUCUCAAAUAAGGAUGAUCUAGGGAAAAAUAUCAGGGGAGUGGAGGUCAGGAGAGGAGUGUGUGGAUUCAGCUCUGCCUGGGGCAAGGCGCUUUUUCUCUCUGCCCCCCUUCCCCCCAUUUCCAUCUGUAAUAAGGCACAGGCUGGACCAGACAUGCCUCCAGUGCCUGCUAGCUCCACCAAUAAGGACCGUGAAUAACACUUAUUCCCAUUCCCAUUUUACUGGUUUCCGAAUAUGAGAAGAUCAUUGCCAAUUUUUCUCUUUUCUCUUUCAACACUACUGUGAUGGUUAAUGGUGAGUGUCAACUUGAUUGGAUUGAAGGAUGCAAAGCAUUGGUCCUGGGUGUGUCUGUGUGGGUGCUGCCAAAGGAGAUUAACAUUUGAGUCAGUGGACUGGGAGAGGCAGACCCACCCUCAGUCUGGGCACCAGCUAAUCAGCUGCCAGUGCGGCUAGGAUAAAGCAGGCAGAGGAACAUGGAAGGACGAGACUGGCUGAGUCUUCCAGCCUCCAUCUUUCUCCUGUGCUGGAUGCUUCCUGCCCUCGAACAUUGGACUCCAAGUUCUUCAGUUUUUGGACUCUUGGACUUCCACCAGUGGCUUGCCAGGGGCUCUCGGGCCUUCGGACACAGACUGAAGGCUGCACUGUUGGCUUCCCUACUUUUGAGAUGUUGGGACUCGGACUGCUUCCUUGCUCCUGGGCUAGCCGAUGGCCUAUUGUGGGACUUCACCUUCUAACCGUAUUUCAGAGUAAAUUGGUGACACAGGCCAGAAUGGAGUGCCCACCCCCGAUCCCCACGCCUCUGCCUCUCCCGCAUCGCUGUGCCCACCCCCGAUCCCGCAUCGCUCCAGCCAUGCUGUGUCCCCCAGCAGCCCUGCAGUCCUAGUCCACCCUGAAUGAAGUUUCUAUGUGCUCUGUUGCUGAAGAGUGUUGGAUUUAAAAAUGAAAAGCUCACUUACCAGCUGGGAGGCCUCUGACCACUCCCUUAAAGCUCCCGAGGCCUGAAUGUCCUUGUCCACAGAAUGGGAAGGUUAAUCCUACAUUCCUAAAACUUGUAGUCUGAAUAGAGUCUGCAUGAGCCUGCACCUCGGGGUGAGGACAGGGAGGGAAGGCGCAUCCAGUCAAACAAAAGUGUCAACAGCACUCCCAGGCAGUGUGGAAACUUGCUGAGAAUACACUUUACACAUCUCUGGAAGUUUAAUUUUACAACAAUAAUUAAAAUUAAAUCAUAGAUAAUCCACACCAGA
rnacentral:lncRNA from 1 species